rnacentral:rRNA from 1 species
AAUGAACGUUGGCGGCGUGCCUAACACAUGCAAGUCGAGCGAGAAAGCUCCUUCGGGAGCAAGUAAAGCGGCGAACGGUUGAGUAACACGUGAGAAUCUGCCCUUCAGUGAAGAAUACCUUUGAGAAAUCGAAGUUAAUGCUGCAUAAUCCCCCUUGGGGGCAAAGGUGGCCUCUUUGCUACCGCUGAAGGAUGAGCUUGCGGCCUAUCAGCUUGUUGGUGAGGUAAAAGCUUACCAAGGCUAUGACGGGUAGCCGGCCUGAGAGGGUGGUCGGCCAGACUGGAACUUAGACACGGUCCAGACUCCUACGGGGGGCAGCAGUGGGGAAUCUUGCGCAAUGGGCGAAAGCCUGACGCAGCGACGCCGCGUGGAGGAUGAAGGUCUUCGGAUUGUAAACUUCUGUUAAGUGGGAAGAAAUAGUCAUGUCAAAUAAACAUGAAAGAUGACGGUACCAUUAGAGAAAGCACCGGCUAAUCUCGUGCCAGCAGCCGCGGUAAUACGAGAGGUGCAAACGUUAUUCGGAAUUACUGGGCGUAAAGGGUGCGUAGACGGCGUAGCAAGUCCGUUGUUAAAUUUUCCGGCCCAACCGGAAGUCAGCAAUGGAAACUGCAAUGCUAGAGGUUAGAAGAGAGAAGUGGAAUUCUCGGAGUAGCGGUAAAAUGCGUAGAUAUCGAGAGGAACACCGAUGGCGAAAGCAGCUUCUUGGUCUAGCCUGACGUUGAGGCACGAAAGCGUGGGUAGCAAACAGGAUUAGAUACCCUGGUAGUCCACGCCGUAAACGAUGAUCACUAAACGUUGGUUC